UUCAUUAGCAUAUUGAUAAGUUAAAUGUGUUAGUUUAAUAGAGAUUUUAGUGAUUGAUAACAAUCACCUGAGUUCCUCAGUUUCCUCCUUCGCUCCUCACAAUUCUGUUCUAAACCAAGUCCUAAAACCUUCAUCCACUGUGCCGUCCCACGCCAGCCUCCAGACGGCAACCACCAAAACUGCUGCAGAUGCCAGCCUCAUCAGGCAGGCACCACCCACCACCUUCAAAAUAUACUUAUUUUUUUCUUCUUAUUUCUUUCCCUAAAAGUUUUGAUUUCAAUUGUUAAUUUGUUAUAGAUUUUUUAUUUCUUUGAAUGUUAACUGUUAAACAUUAUUUGUUGACUUUGUUCAUUCAUGAUUGAUGAUUAUACAAUACCUCAAAACCAUAUUUGUUAAUCAAUUUACGAUUUUUGGUUUACUUGGUGGUAAAUUUCCAAAUUUAGGGCUUCAUAUUUAAUUUCUUAGAAUUUAUUAGACUUUUAGUUGACUAGUAAUUGAAUUCUAUAAUUGAUUAAGGUAAUUUGUUUGAAUUUCUUGAAAUUUUUAGAUAAUUGAUUUAGGGUUUUUGGUUAUACAUUUUCAAAUUCUGGAUUAGUAGUGAGGGGUUUUUGCCUAUCUGGGAUGAGGGUAAUAGCAAAGUGGUCAUAGGAAGGCAGUAAAUACUUGGGCAUCACAGAAUAGGGUGUGGCAUUGGCUUGUUCAGUUUUAUUUUUUUUUAAAUUCUUUUUGUUUGAUUCUGGCAAGUAGCUUACAUAAUCAAAGAAUAGAAGUAAAGAGCAACAUUUUUUGAAUAACCUUACUUCUCUUAUAGCCAAACCAGAGCAAAAUAUUUCAGAUGUUAUGGAUGUUUCCGGAAUCCACUGAUUCUCAAGAACUAAUGCCCAUUUAUGGAUUACCACUGGUUUCAGUUAACACUUUGAUUUAUAUGGCUAUAUGGGUAGUGUUAAUUAUUAAAUACAAGAAUUCCUUGUCUAGUUGUUUGAAGGCUAUGUUAAGUAAUGUUCAGUUGGUUGAUUGAAUGACUUCACUUUGUGCUGCUCAUUCAUAUGUUGGCAUGUAGAAUGCAAACAAGGGACUUUUACUGAAAAUUUUGAGUCAGGGACUUAAUUGCAUGUAUAUUGAGAUGAACAUGGUGGCUCAUCGUCUAACGUUUAUGUUGGAAUCAAUAUUUGUGUUGGGUAAUUGUUUAAUUGGCUAAUGCACUAUAAUAUUUCAAUUGGCUAAUUGAAACCAAUAUUUUAAUUGAAUAUGUGUUUGUGUUAGAAUUAAUAUUUUGAAAGUGAUUUGUUUCAAAAUUUUUCAUAUGAUACAAUUAUGCGUUGUUUUCAAAAUAUUAGAGCUAGGCAUGGACAAUACCAUAAAUAAAACACGGUUAAAUGUAAUUUUAUUUUUAUUUAAAAUAUUGACGGUAUUUAAUUUUUUUCUGGAUCCAUCACUGAUUGCAUUUGCUCUUUUAUUAAGUGUUAAUGAAGAAAUAAUAAUAUUUAUUUUUACUAUUUAAUGCUAAUGCACAUCUUUUUGUUUCUCUAGUGCACGUUUGUGUGUGUUUAGUCUCUGUAGCUAAUGAGAGAAAGCUUAUUGUUUCAUUUCAAUGCAACUAUGGAACUUAUCACCUCAGAUUGUAAAUGAAGUUGCCAUCUUCGUGAAUGAUGGAAAUACACCUUUGGAUCUAAGCUUAGCGUAUGGAAAAGACUUUGAAUCGUAUGAUCUAACAAAGUUGUUGAAGAUUGUAACUGCCAACAGAGAUCGAUAAGUGUUGGAGAUGAACCUAAUUUUGUAAUAUCUUCCAUGUUCAUUCUCUAGAAGUUGAAUAAUUUAGGAUUAUAUUCCCUAUUUCUGUAUAAAAACAUAAUAAUGUUUUCUU